rnacentral:misc_RNA from 1 species
UCUCCGUUGGUGAACCAGCGGAGGGAUCAUUACAGAGUUAUCUAACUCCCAAACCCAUGUGAACUUACCAUUUGUUGCCUCGGCAGAGCCUACCCGGUAACUGUUCGGAGAAGCUACCCUGUAGCUACCCUGUAACGGCCUACCCUGUAACGCACUGCCGGUGGACUUUUAAACUCUUGUUAUUUUCUAGUAAGCUAAGCGUCUUAUUUAAAUAAGUCAAAACUUUCAACAACGGAUCUCUUGGUUCUGGCAUCGAUGAAGAACACAGC